UCUUGCGCAAUGCACGAAAGUGUGACGCAGCAACGCCGCGUGGGGGAAGAAGGCUCUCGGGUCGUAAACCCCUUUCAGUUGGGACGAAGCUUCGUCGGUUAAUAGCCGGCUGGAGUGACGGUACCUUCACAAGAAGCACCGGCUAACUACGUGCCAGCAGCCGCGGUAAUACGUAGGGUGCAAGCGUUGUCCGGAAUCAUUGGGCGUAAAGAGCGUGUAGGCGGCCCGAUUAGUCCGCUGUAAAGUCCAGGGCUCAACCCUGAAUGCCGGUGAUACUGUCGGGCUCAGUCCGAAGGGGCGAGUGAAUUCCUGGUGAGCGGUAAAUGCGCAGUUCAGAAGACACCAACGGCGAGGAGCUCGCUGGGCGUCUGCGUGAGCCAGAUAGAUCUU
rnacentral:rRNA from 1 species